rnacentral:rRNA from 1 species
UACGAAGGGGGCUAGCGUUGCUCGGAAUCACUGGGCGUAAAGGGUGCGUAGGCGGGUUUUUAAGUCAGGGGUGAAAUCCUGGAGCUCAACUCCAGAACUGCCUUUGAUACUGAGAGACUUGAGUCCGGGAGAGGUGAGUGGAACUGCGAGUGUAGAGGUGAAAUUCGUAGAUAUUCGCAAGAACACCAGUGGCGAAGGCGGCUCACUGGCCCGGUACUGACGCUGAGGUGCGAAAGCGUGGGGAGCAAACAGG